UACGAAGGGGGCUAGCGUUGCUCGGAAUCACUGGGCGUAAAGCGUGCGUAGACGGUAGCGUAAGUCGGGUGUGAAAGCCCCGGGCUCAACCUGGGAAUUGCAUUCGAGACUGCUCUGCUAGGGUGCGGAAGAGGGGAGCGGAAUUUCCGGUGUAGCGGUGAAAUGCGCAGAUAUCAGGAGGAACACCAGCGGCGAAGGCGGCGCUCUGGGCCGGUACUGACACUGAGGAGCGAAAGCGUGGGUAGCAAACAGG
rnacentral:rRNA from 1 species